rnacentral:lncRNA from 1 species
CCUGAAACGCCGCCGUCUUUCACGUGUGUCCGUCCGGCUGCCAGUCAAACGUUCUUUGAUGAACUCCCUCGGGAAUGCGGCCGUGUGUUGAACGCCAGCUCCAAAACGUGUGACCUUCACCUGUCGGCUCUCACCUGAUCAGAGAUGUGGUGGCAGCGCUGCAGCGGCAUCAGAGACGGAGUCUUGAGCAGGAAGUGGAGCAGCUGAUCCGACAGAGGCCAGGACGUAAGCAGUCUGACGACGGCGGUGGAGCCCGAGACCACCUGCUCACACCUGAAGCACACAGCCGCAUGUGAGUCUCCAUAAAUGUGUGACUCAUUACUACAGAUGAGUUGAAAGCAGCUCUGAUGACAGAAACCCAAACCCAUCCAGGUACGUUCAGCAGCUGCAGCUUUGAGAAGAAGAUCAGCACCUGCUGCAGCAUCCCAGGAGGAUCCUGAGGAGAAGGAGAAAACAAGCUGAGCUUCCACACCACAUGUCUGCAGCACAAAGCACACAGACACCUCUGGUGAAAAAUGGCUAUUGAGCAUCGUGUGGUCCUGGACGCGUGGGCACAGCCGCGGAACUAGAGGACUGGGGAGAGCCGGAGACGCGCCACAACCUGACGUCCGGGAGACGCAGAGCGCGACCUACGGUCAUUGCGGGUCCAAAUCGAGGCGGUGGCUAGCAGCACGCCGGCGGGAGAAAGACCCGAGGAGGGAGGCGGCUCA